ACACAAUAAAAAUACAGAUGAAUUUCAACAAAUUCAGUAUUCUUUGAACCUAAAAGUAUUCCUAACAAAGUUAUACAUAUGUAUGUGUAUUAUAUGUAUCUGUGUUUAUUUAAACUUUAAAAAAUGCUAGAGUCAGACUAAUGCACAAAUACUAAUAAGAUCACGUUGAUAUUUCACAGAGCAUAGUGACUUUGUGUUCAUGGCAUCUUGUUUUAAUCUUUCAGACUUCUGGGAAUGACUGACGCCGGCACUCUGUUGCUGGGUAGAGUGCAUUGUCAUAGUUUCUUAAAGAGAGAAAAAUGCUUCACUUUAGCUGUGCUGCACAAAAGCCAGAAGGGAAAAGUAUGAAAGAAAGGCUUUGAAAGGAAAACAUUCGGUAUUAAGGGAAAAGCUGGACUGACUGUACCCGUGAUAUGUAGUAGUGUAAGGGGAGAGAAAGACAGCUAUGGAUUUUAAUCCAUUCGUCGAUAAAGGUCACUACUCCAAAGGGUUUUAUUUCUCUGCCACACAUCAAAGUGUAAAUCCGCUGAUUGCCACCACUGAAUGGGGAGACAACAAGGCCGGGUUUGUGGGUCGUUUCUAAGGCGCAGUGUGUGAGGAGAGAGCCCAUAAUGUGCAGGUUUUCUAUCAGGGGCCCCCCGAUCAAUGGGCAGCCUGACCUUUGCAUUGUGUUCCCGGCUUUGCCCGUGAUGUCAUGCCAUCUAUCCGCCGCUCUUCUUAAAGGGCCAAGAGAAAAGGAGGCACGGUCCCACACUGUCAUCCCACCACGAGAUUGAAAAGGCAUUAUCUGCAAAUAUAACCACCUGAAACUGGUGAAACACAGAUUAAAUACGUCGGAUUAUCCAACGUGUCUCGAAAAGAUGAGACGGCAUCCUGUUCGUCGAAAUAUUCCACCCUAAUGAUAUGACAAGCAUUGAGAUAUUAAGAUGCAAAGCGAGCGUUUGAAAGCGGCUCGGCACAAGUCGUUAAUCAAAUAAGGCCAAUGGCCUUUUUAAGAUGUUUGUCAGGGAUUGAUCUGCCUUUUGAGUUAAUAUACGCCAGAGCAGAACUUAAGAGGAUAAAAGGGGUGAGCUUCUCAUUGUUCCUCUCUGAAAGCUCUUCUUUGUAGUGGAGAGGGCCGAUGGCAGCUGGUAGGGUCCUCUCCGCUCAUUGAACAUCGAGAACUUUCUCAGAGUGGCCAAGUGCAUUGGAAUGGAAAUCUAAAGAGUGGCGGACAUAAUCGAGGGGGAUCCGGUGCGAAGGAAAGACUCGCCCGAGCCAUCCGCGACAGAUGUUGUAAUUGCCAGCUGAUGGAUGGGCCGUGGAGGAGGUCAUUACGGACGGAGAUGACUUGAAAAAGAAGGGAAGGGCCUGUGCCACGGCUGGACGACCAGCCCUCUGCCAUCUCUAGAAGAUGAGAGAUUGGGACCCUGGUCAUGGGACGGAGAAGAUGCAGGAUAUGGUCAACCCUUAAAUUAGACACGCCCUCCCCCUAUUGUGUACGGAAAACACACUACUUAUGCAGUCUUUUAUGUAGACAACAAUUAUCGCGCUCAAGACUGCAUUGACUGAAAGAGUCAGUUAGUUACCCAUGAAACUUAAAGAGGUGUUUUAGACACUUAAGUCACGCUUAAAACUGUCUGAAUGUCAUUGCAUUGGGUUUCAAACCAAGUGUGAUCUGCAAACAAAUGCUUCAGGAACAUUACUUUUCUGAGCCAUUUUUGCAAUGAGCUUUAAAUCAAAUGUGGCUUUGUUAUUCACUAUUGUUUAACCUAAUAAACUAUAUUUUUGUGAAAUUUU